GAUGAAGAACGCAGCGAAAUGCGAUACGUAAUGUGAAUUGCAGAAUUCAGUGAAUCAUCGAAUCUUUGAACGCAUAUUGCGCUCUCUGGUAUUCCGGAGAGCAUGCUUCUUUGAGUAUCAGUAAACACCUCAACUCCCUUUUCUUUUUUGAAAUUGGAGCUGGACUUGAGUGAUCCCAACGCUUUCUUCCAAGAAAGUGGCGGGUUGCUUGAAAUGCAGGUGCAGCUGAACUUUUCUCUGAGCUAUAAGCAUAUCUAUUUAGUCUGCCUAAAAAACAGAUUAUUACCUUUGCUGCAGCUAACAUAAAGGAGACUAGUUCUUGUGCUGACUGAUGCAGGAUUCACAGAGACAGCUUCGGCUGACUUUGUAAACUCGAUCUCAAAUCAAGUAAGACUACCCGCUGAACUUAAGCAUAUCAAUAAGCGGAGGA
rnacentral:misc_RNA from 1 species